rnacentral:rRNA from 1 species
GACGUAGGGCGCAAGCGUUGUCCGGAUUUAUUGGGCGUAAAGAGCUCGUAGGCGGCUUGUUGCGUCGUCCGUGAAAACCCGUGGCUCAACUGCGGGCUUGCGGACGAUACGGGCAGGCUGGAGUUCGGUAGGGGAGACUGGAAUUCCUGGUGUAGCGGUGAAAUGCGCAGAUAUCAGGAGGAACACCGGUGGCGAAGGCGGGUCUCUGGGCCGAUACUGACACUGAGGAGCGAAAGCGUGGGGAGCGAACAGG